rnacentral:tRNA from 1 species
UAGGCAGAAGCCAGCAGGCUGAGGCAUUUAGCUGUUAACUAAAAUUUUACGGGAUCGAAGCCCGUCUGUCUAG